AUGAAACAUUUAGUAGCUAAGAGUAGAAACAGCAGAAGAAGAGUAAGUAAUUAGUGAUGGCAGUUAGUGCGGUGAGGAGUUCAUUUAGUCUCAAGCCCUCUCCCUUCACUGUGGAAAAGAGAGCAGCGCGUGGCCUGCCAUCACUAGGAAGGUCUUCAUCCUCCAGCUUCAGAGUUGAGGCCAGUGGUGGCAAGAAGAUCAAGACCGACAAGCCUUAUGGAAUUAAUGGAGGCAUGAACUUGGAAGAUGGUGUUGAUGCCUCGGCCGUAGGGCAAAGGGAAAGGGUGUUUAUCAAUUCGUGAACAAAUAUGGAGCUAAUGUUGACGGAUACAGUCCUAUCUAUAACCCAGAUGAAUGGUCCCCGAGUGGCGAUGUCUACGUUGGCGGUACCACUGGCUUAGCCAUUUGGGCUGUCACGUUGGCUGGCAUUCUUGCAGGAGGUGCACUACUUGUAUACAACACAAGUGCUUUGGCACAGUAGAUCAUUAUGCCUACAUCAAUUAAGUUGUGUCCCAGCUUGCAUUGUCAAAAUAUUUUGUAACAUAAAGCAAUGAUGAAUGCAGGAAUUUGGCUAAGAAUAUUCAAGAUUUAAUAUAUAUGUAUAAAUAAUAUAGUAGUAUUUAACUUGAUCUUAUCUUAUUACUA